AGCAGUGCUGGUCAAGCUGGAUGACGAGAUCGGUACCGGCGACCUGAUCCUCAAGCUCAAGGUGGCCGGUUCCGCCCCGGCCGCUGCGCC
rnacentral:tRNA from 2 species